rnacentral:lncRNA from 1 species
UUUGCAGGCCCGGCACAGUCUCAGUUCCCCACAGCACAGAGAGGAAGCAAGGUCUUUGCAUGCCCUGUUCACUUGGCCAAACAUUGCCCUAGAUGUGCAAUUCAACCCAUAUAAAGCAAGCGUAAUUCAAGAGCCCUGACUCUUUCACCAUUUCAUGAUGGCUUAUUACUCGCACACGGCAUUGUCAGGUUCCAGCAACUCUGUGUGCAGCAGGCAGAAAUGCAGUGUUUAUCUCUGACAGGCAAACAUUCUUAGGCUCAUCGGCAUGAGUAUCCACGCUGAACUGGCUAUCGGGGAAGUAGAUCCCUGCAUGGGAAAGUCAAGUAUCCCCACUGUGUAGAGCUGGUCCACAAUGGAGAGGAGGAAAAGUUUUGCAUUGGACCAAAUCACUGCCUUAGAAGGAAAGAGAUUGCAAUCCCAUUCAUUUUUAAGAUCUGCAAUGGGUUGGGAUGAUACCCAUUUAAAAAAGAAAAAAAAAGAGGUUACCUCUUUGGCCUCUUUGGCAAAGGAUAUGAACUAGUAAUAAAGCCUCAGCAUCAAGGCUUGGGAGUCUGGCUCAAAGUGGCUAAGACUAGAAGCAUCUUCUAACAUAAAUAUGGCAGCAUUAGGAAAAUAGCUUGGCCUUUAGAGAGACCCAGAUUAUCUUCACCUUAAAAACUACCAAGACCCUGGUCCAGCAAGACCACCAUCACAGCAGUAAAUACAUAGCCACCAACUUCACAGAAGGUUUUCCACUGAGACAUUGUGAAAACCACAAUCCAUUACCGGUGGAUGAGUCCCAGCUCUCUUACUACCUGGAGCUUCCAAGCAAGACUUACCUGUCCUUUGUUCCAGAUUGGUUCCUGGGAUCCUGGACCAACACAAAGAGAAGAGGAAAGCCUCAAGGGAAAUAAAAGUGAAGGUUUCAGUGAUAGUUUAAAUAUAUAUUUUUAAAUGUUAGCUUUUUUUUAAAUACUUCACAGUGAUGGAUGGAGUAUUUCAACCACAAUGGCAAAGAAUGAAUUACCGGCAGUGUCAGAGUUUCUUGUUGCUGUGGGAAGACAGCUGCCAUGUUGAGAGGUGCCUUGUGGAGAGGCUCAUGUGGCGAGGAACUGAGACUGGCUUCUAUCCAACAACCAGUGAGGAACUAAGGCCCUAAAGUCCUAUAGUCCACAAGGAACUAAAUCCUACCAACAACUACAUGAGUGAGCCUGGAAUCUGAUUUUCCCCAGUGGGGACUUAAGGUACCUACAACCUGGCUGUUAUGGGCUAAACUGCAUCCUGCCCAAAUUUAUAUGUUUGAGUCUUAACUCCCAGCACUUCAGAACAUGGUUUUGUUUGGAGACAUAGUCAUUAAAGAGGUAAUGAAGUUAAAAUGAGGUCAUUAGGAUGAGUCCUAAUCCAAUAGGACUGGUGUUCUUAUAUGAAGAGGAAAUUUGAACACAGACACAUAUACAGGAAAGACCAUGCGAAGAAGACACAGAGAGGAAACGGCCAUCUACAAUCCAAGGAGAGAGGCCUCAGAACAAGCCAACCCUGCAGAUACCUUGAUCUAGGCAUCCAGAAUUGUAUGAAAAUACAUUUUUGUUAUUUAAGCUACCCAGUCUGUGGUGCUUUGUUAUGGCAAUCCCAGAAAACUAAUUAACUAAUUGACUGCAGCCUUGCAAGGGACCCUGAACCAGAGGACCCAGUUAAGCCAUGUGCAGAUUCCUGACUCACAGAACUAGGAGAUAACAAAUGUUUGUUGUUCUAAGGUGCUAAAUGUUGGGAAAAUAUGUUAUGUGGCUAUGUUGUUUUGCACAUGUGCCACAUAAUGAUGUUUUGGUCAACAACAGACCACACAUAUGAUGGUGGGCCCAUAAGAUUGUAAUACUGUGUUUCUAUUAUGCAUUCUCUAUUUAUAGAUACACAAAUACUUGCCACUGUGUUACAAUUGCCUACUGUCUUCAGUACUGUAACAUGCUGUACAGGUUUGUAGCCCAGAAGCAAUAGACUAUACCAUACAGUC